rnacentral:rRNA from 1 species
GAUGAAUGCUGGCGGCGUGCCUAACACAUGCAAGUCGAGCGGCAGCGAGGGGUGCUUGCACCCUGUCGGCGAGCGGCGAACGGCUGAGUAACGCGUAGGAAUUUGCCCCAAAGUGAGGAAUAACUGCCCGAAAGGGUAGCUAAUGCCGCAUAUGGUCUUCGGAUUAAAGGAUUUAUCCGCUUUGGGAGAAGCCUGCGUUGGAUUAGGUUGUUGGUAGGGUAAUGGCCUACCAAGCCGACGAUCCAUAGCUGGUCUGAGAGGAUGAUCAGCCAGACUGGAACUGAGACACGGUCCAGACUCCUACGGGAGGCAGCAGUGAGGAAUCUUCCACAAUGGGCGAAAGCCUGAUGGAGCAACGCCGCGUGAAGGAUGAAGGCCUUCGGGUUGUAAAAUUCUUUUAUGAGUGAAGAAUAUGACGGUAACUCAUGAAUAAGCACCGGCUAACUACGUG